ensembl:misc_RNA 7SK 7SK RNA
AUAUAUGAGGAAAAUCUGUUUGUGACAUCUGUCAUCCCAUUCAUCACCAUGGCUGAUUCAGAUGUUCUUACUGGUUAGAUAGAUAUCAACAUUUUCCUUCACUGCUGCAUGUACAUCCUUCCUGAAUGUGUGAGCUCAGUCAAAGAGGUUAGCAUUCCAUGAAGAGCACAAGACUAGUCUUUGGAGAAGAGUGCAAGAGAAGCUGCAUUCCCUUGCUAGAACCUCCAAACAAGUUCUCAGGGGGAUAUUUUAAAUCAAUAGCUCUUAUAAAACAGGAACACUCUAUUUUCAGUGGAAACCAAUCAUG